AGUCUUGUCCUGUCUUUGUGUGUGUUGUUUCUGUCAUUUCUUCCUCACAGAUCUAAAAGGACCGCAACAAGUGGUGCCCAGAAUGAGAAAGAAACCGAAAGGGCAGGUGAGAUGGCACUGAGCUAAAUCCUCAACCCUCAAUUCUGAAGUUUAUAACUGCAUGUGAAGUGGACACACCCUGGACAUUGCAUUCACUGAUUCAGUGACCUCAUGCUUGGGGUGAGUUGAUGAGAAACAAGUAAAGUAUAGAAGUAUAAAACAACCUUAGACCUAGCCCAACUAACAGACAGAUUUCUCCAUAAUAAGUACUAGCAAUGGAAAAAAGUAAGACUUAGAGCCCAAGUACAGAAGCCACCCAUAUGUCCUUUGAUGGAUGAAUUGCUACAAAAAGUAUGGCACCUACCUAUAUACCGGGCUGUUACUUAUCUCUUCAAAAGAAGGAAACUCUGAGACAUAAUGCACCAGUGAUGGAAGCUGAAAGCAUCAUAUGAUGAAAUCAGAUACACAAAGAAACAUGCCGUUUCAGUCCAUUGGACUGCAAGGCACACGAGAAGUCGCUACCUGUCUACACAUAAGGAAACAAAGGGUGAUGGUUGUCACCAGGGGCUUGCAAGGCAGGCGUGGUGCCACUGAGCUACAUCCCUGGCCCUCCCCCACCAGUUUUUAAGAAACAUGCGGGCAAGUUCACUGCUUUAUUAUUUCAGCUUCAAAAACAAAGUGAUUAAUCAUAAUCCUUAUGGUGUCAUUUUCUAAAACUGACACUUUUACCUAAUGCCCAAUAUCUUGGCAAGGUCAGAUCACAGGCAUCAGUUUUCUCCUUUCAGUCUGUGUUUACCGAUUCGUCUUUUGGUACUGGGGAUCAAACUCGGGUCCUUGCCCUUGCAAGGCAGGCAGUGGAACCACUGAGCUAGAUCCCUGGCCCCUUACCGAUUCAUCUUUGACAAUGUGUAUGCAUUCGUUGUGUGGUCUAGAAACUCUACAAUUUCUUAUUCAUUUCCAUCCUUCUAAAGCAUCGCCAGGCAUUUGCACCCUAGUAAUGAGGAAAAUGACUGCUAGCAUUUCAGGUAACCGAACACGACACACUCUCCUUCCUGUCAGUUCUCGAUCCUGUGGGGUAGAAGCUUGGGGCAGACUCCAGCUCCAGGAUGCAGUUGAGAAACCCAUUUCCAGACUGUAGCAGUUAGGAGACAAAUGCAGACUACAGAGGCUCAAGGCUUCCUUGGUGCACAUGGUAGCGCCUCCCUACUGAUAGAGGAGGUGGAGAUCUGCUCCCUUCUAAAUCUGGCGGCGCUUAGACUUUUCGGGAUCAGAGCCCAGGGUCCUCAUGCUGGGUGGAGGCUCCAGUGGACCACAGCUUGAACGCAGAGUCGGCGGCAAAGACCCGGAGAGACCUAGGGGGAUAGGCAGGAACUGUUGCGACCUGCAGCGACCUUGGUGCCCACUAGGUGCCCAGCCGACUGCCUGCGGUAAGGUGUCCGUAAACAUCCAUCAGCUCCUGUGCUCUCUGUCCGCUGUGUCCUCAGCUCGGCCUUUGUAGACUCACAGCCGCAAUGGACAGAUCUCUUGUUGCCUUGGUUGGGUAGUGAGCAGGGUGUGAUUUUAUUUGGUGGCUCUGCUGCAGGAGAUUUCUGCCAUGCCUGCCAGAUAACUCCUGACCUCAGUGACCUUUUCCUCCUCCCUAGAACCAUCAACAGACAUUUCCUUUCCCAAGAGCACCAAAAAACACACAGACCACAGGUGUCAAGUGUGAAAAUAUACUAAGAUCAAAAUUCUAGAGCAUGUCUCCCCACUGAUAAGUAUAAAUGUGUAAAAUACACAGUUCGGGUUUGAAAAUGGUAAAAAAAAUUCCCAACGUAAUUGCUCCAGAGUAAGAGCCAAGUACAGUUUGUUUUUUUUUUUUUACAAUAUUGGGGAUGGCUGUGUUUGUGUGGGAAAGAUGGCCACGGCUGUGUUUAUCAGCCAAUCUGGAGUUUGUAAAUGGAAGCAAAAUUGUGCCAAAUACCUUUGUUUGUGAGUCAAGUUGUUUGCAAACAGAAGCAUUUGUGAACCGAGGUAUUACUGUAAUGGUAUUGACUCACUGAGGUCUGUAUCUCUCUGCAUGGGUCACAAAAGCUACAAUCUUAUUGCAAAAUGGUGAUUUGGCAGAGACAGCCUGAAAAAUUUAACCCAAGUAAACUACACUUCAACAUGAGUCUGACUGGGCCAUCAGUCAUUGCCUACGAAUGGUGAGAAACUGAGAUGUCUUGGCCAGCAGCUUGCAGCUCAGUCCACCAAG